UGUGGUGUGGGCGGGGCUUAUCAGGGAUGUGGUGUGGGCGGGGCUUAUCAGGGAUGUGGCUGGGAYGUGGGAGGGGCUUAACAGGGWUGUGGCUGGGACGUGGGAGGGGCUUAACAGGGAUGUGGCUGGGACGUGGGAGGGGCUUGGUCCAUCCAGCCCCCUUCUACUGUAUGUUAGACUCCAGAUGUUUUUAAUAACCAGUCAACACACGGUGGUCUCAUUUGUUCUCUAUAUGGAAAUGAGAAAGGGUCUGAUUGUGAAAGUGGGAGAUUCUUGUCCUCCUCCAAAUACUGUGCUCUACUUGUGUGAAGAGUGGUUCUGAGUAAAAAAAGAGGGAAAAAAAGUGUAUUCAUUUGAAGUGAUGUUUUUCUUGUACAGUACCUCCCUUCCGCCCAGUCACGUGACUUAGUGCUUACGUCCCAAACAACACCUUAUUCCCUAUACAGUGCACUACCUUCGAGCAAAAGUAGAGUCCUAUGGGCCCUGUUCAAAGUAGUGCACUGUAUAGGAAAUAGGUAGCUUUUUUGGGGGACCGAUCCGAGAUGUACAGAGCAAUUUAAAAYACUAUACUGUAUUAGUAUGUAGUCAUUUGAAUGUUUUUUUKUUGUUGUUCAAAUGUGAUCUUUUGGUAGUUUCAUUUUGAAUAUACUGUAGUCUCAAGGACCAAGAGUUUGUUAGUUUAAAGAUGUUCCAUUUUUAUGGUGUUGGUUGGUUGAUGUUGUUACUGCUCCUGUGCACUAAGGUGAAACCUGGAUAUCUUUGCUCUCUCUCUCUGUCGCCUGUUUAUCUGCUUCUGUCAGCUGUUCAUUUAACCAGCAGAAUGUCCGCUAUAGGUAGAAGACUGCUGGUAAGGCAGAGCGGUAAAGUAAAAUAGAAUCGGACUAAUUCAAAUACAAUUACUAGAACAGACAAUUUCAAGUCGACCGUAUUCUAUGUGUGUGAUCUGACCUGCUGCCCUUGUCUCUAAACUGAAAGUGAUCUGACCUGCUGCCUUGUCUCUAAACUGAAAGGUGAUCUGACCUGCUGCCCUCGUCUCUAAACUGAAAGGUGAUCUGACCUGCUGCCCUCGUCUCUAAACUGAAAGGUGAUCUGACCUGCUGCCCUUGUAUCUAAACUGAACGGUGAUCUGACCUGCUGCCCUCGUCUCUAAACUGAAAGGUGAUCUGACCCACUGCCCUUGUCUCUAAACUGAAAGGUGAUCUGACCUGCUGCCCUCGUCUCUAAACUGAAAGGUGAUCUGACCUGCUGCCCUUGUCUCUAAACUGAAAGGUGAUCUGACCUGCUGCCCUCGUCUCUAAACUGAAAGGUGAUCUGACCUGC